UACGUAGGGUGCAGGCGUUAAUCGGAAUUACUGGGCGUAAAGCGUGCGCAGGCGGUCUUUUAAGUCAGAUGUGGAAUCCCCGGGCUUAACCUGGGAACUGCGUUUGAAACUGGAAGGCUAGAGUGUGGCAGAGGGGGGUGGAAUUCCACGUGUAGCAGUGAAAUGCGUAGAGAUGUGGAGGAACACCGAUGGCGAAGGCAGCCCCCUGGGCUAACACUGACGCUCAUGCACGAAAGCGUGGGGAGCAAACAGG
rnacentral:rRNA from 1 species